rnacentral:rRNA from 1 species
UUGUGCAGACGGGUGAGUAACGCGUGGAACGUGCCUUUCACUACGGAAUAGCUUUUGGAAACGAAAGGUAAUACCGUAUACGCCCUCCGGGGGAAAGAUUUAUCGGUGAAAGAUCGGUCCGCGUUAGAUUAGCUAGUUGGUGAGGUAACGGCUCACCAAGGCUACGAUCUAUAGCUGGUCUGAGAGGAUGAUCAGCCACACUGGGACUGAGACACGGCCCAGACUCCUACGGGAGGCAGCAGUGGGGAAUAUUGCACAAUGGGCGCAAGCCUGAUGCAGCCAUGCCGCGUGAAUGAUGAAGGCCUUAGGGUUGUAAAAUUCUUUCGCCAAGGAUGAUAAUGACAGUACUUGGUAAAGAAGCCCCGGCUAACUUCGUGCCAGCAGCCGCGGUAAUACGAAGGGGGCUAGCGUUGUUCGGAAUUACUGGGCGUAAAGCGCACGUAGGCGGACUUUUAAGUCAGAUGUGAAAUCCCGAGGCUCAACCUCGGAACUGCAUUUGAAACUGGGAGUCUAGAGAUCAGGAGAGGUUAGCGGAAUACCGAGUGUAGAGGUGAAAUUCGUAGAUAUUCGGUGGAACACCAGUGGCGAAGGCGGCUAACUGGACUGAUACUGACGCUGAGGUGCGAAAGUGUGGGGAGCAAACAGGAUUAGAUACCCUGGUAGUCCACACCGUAAACGAUGAGUGCUAGUUGUCUGCAGGCAUGCCUGUAGGUGACGCAGCUAACGCAUUAAGCACUCCGCCUGGGGAGUACGGCCGCAAGGUUAAAACUCAAAGAAAUUGACGGGGGCCCGCACAAGCGGUGGAGCAUGUGGUUUAAUUCGAAGCAACGCGCAGAACCUUACCUACGCUUGACAUGCCUGGACGACUCCGAGAGAUCG